UUUAUUUCUUUUCUUCUCCUUCGAUCAGAUCGCGUAAGGGCCAAGGGGAGAACAAGUCCUCCGAUCUCCUCCGAUCUCCUCCAAUUCAACCCAUCACCUCAGACGAAGGCUCUUUCUCUCUCUCUCUUCUCUCUCUCUUCUCCGAGACCCAUCGUCUCCUUCGAAGUUCGAAUCGAAGGCUCUUCCUCUCUCUCUUCUCCGAGACUCCGAUCGUCUCCUCCAAGCUCUCUCUCGCUUUGCCGCCUCCCUCGAUCAACUUCUGUGAUUCCUCGUUCUGGGUGGAGAAGUCGAGCUUCAUCACUCAUCAGUCAUCACCAUAGGUUCGUCCUCGAGCUCUCUCUCAGCCAUUAAGCUUCAUCAGUCUUCGUCCUCGACCAAACCCAUCAGCCAUUAAGAAACACAAAUCGAUGAGAAAGGCCGUGAGGUUAAGAGUAAAGGAUUCAUCAACAGUCAUGGCUUUUGUUUUUUUUAUCUUUUUGAUUCAUUUCUGAACUAGUGUUCUUUUUGAAAUGUAUACAUUUAUCUAGAGUCCAUAAAGUUAAAAAAAAUUAUUGAUAAAUAAUUUA